CUUGGCAGGUAGACUCUUUCUUGAUGGUAAAGGUGGUAUGAGUGAAGAUGUUGGGGGCCAAACAUAUCCCUGAAAACCUGCAUUGAACUGGAUGAUGAAAGCAGCAGUUUUUCUUCCAUGAGAAUUUGUUGGAGAUGCCAAGGCUCCCAGAAUGAUGGGACAAAGUGAUACUGGCUGCUCUGGAGGCUCUGAAACUUCAGCGGUCAACAGAGGAUCCUCUUGUGUCAAAAAGCACAAGGAAAUUUCAUGUGAAAACAUAGUGAGAAGGAAGAAGUCUGCAAGCCAGGAAGAGAUGCUUGACCAGAGACCAACCCUGCUGGCUCCUGGAUUUUGGACUUUCAGCC